GCUCCCGGGAAGGAAGAGUCUAGAUCCUGCACUCAGAAUUUGGUAGGAACCCACCCCCUAUCACCCCAAGUCCCACAGCUGCUGCUGGGGGCCAGUGGACUCGGAGAUUUUCCUUUUUAUGUGUUGUCUUUCCUAGAGUAAGAUGUAAGCCAACUAGAUUUCAGCAGUUAGACAUCCGACCACAGGGUGGCAGUGCACCUCAGCUGAUGCACGACAGAACACCUUCGUCAAUUCUGAAAGAGCUGGCUUUUUUUUUUUUUUUUUUUUUUUCUUAUUGUCUGGGCCAAUCACUCAUCAUGUAUGAUUCUUAGAACAACAAGGGCCAAUCUGAACUUACAAGUGUCUCAGCUGGCUACAGGCUGAGCAUCUACAACUGAUUUGAAUAGGAAGCACAAUGAAGACGGCUGUUCAUGCUUUGUUUCUUUUCCUCUGGCUGAAGAUGGACUGGGAGAGCCAAGGCGAGCAGGUGAAACAGCACCCUUCCUCCCUGAGUGUCCAGGAAGGAGCCACUGCCCUCAUCAACUGCUCCUACACAGACAGUGCCUCCGUCUACUUCCCUUGGUAUAAGCAAGAGCCUGGGAGGCGUCCUCAGUUCAUCAUUGACAUCCGUUCAAAUAUGGAAAGAAAGCAGACCCAAAGACUCACCCUUUUGUUUGAUAAGAAAACCAAACACCUUUCCCUGAACAUCACAGCCACUGAGCCUGGAGACUCAGCCGUUUACUUCUGCACAGCAAGUACACAUUGCUCCCCAGGCACCUGCAGCCUGUCUUCAAACUUGCCUCCGGGGCUAGAGUGGUGCCCUUUUGCUGUGUCAGACAUUUCCUGAGAGCAUUUGUCACAUUGUUUGUGAACGGAAAAAACUGAUAAAGAUACUAAAGUAUGUAAGAUAAGACCCAAGAUGACUCAGGACGUUUAAAACAUAUUGUUAAUUGCUGCUUAAUAAUUACUUAAAAUUGAUAUUUAUUCAGAGUAUCUUGGUUUAGGCUAACAUUAGAAAAUGAAUAGUUGGGUGAGUAGAUGCACAGAGCGACGUCUGAAAUAAGGAGUCAACUUGGAUCUCCUUUCUGUGUGAGCCGAUCUCGGCAUGCCCAUGUGUUCAGCAGUCCAAUAACUCUGCAUCGGAGAUUCUACAGGAAUUGGUGAUGUUCUGCUUAGAAAACCACGCUCUAACAAAUUUAAAUUUGACAUUCAGCCUCCUAUCAUGUGUGAAGCCCUUCAGUUUCAGUAUCACAAUCUCUGGCACUCAUGGACUUUUGACUCUAGAUAAUUGCUUUUGCAGUUAUUUUGGGGAUUAAACAUGAAUUAUAUGUAUAUAUGUUGUAUAAUAUAUAUAUUAUACAAUGUAUGAAAGUGAUUGACUGUGUACCUAGAGUGUAAAUUGCUAAAGUUUGUUCAAACCAGAGUAAUAUGUCGUAUCAAUAUAUUCAGAGUUACAUUGUACAAUGUCAGUACUAUAAUUAAACUACAGUGUACAGUGGAUUUUUGUUAAAUACGUGAUUUUAGCUGUUCCUGUCAAACACCCAAAACGUACCUGAAAAUGAUGGGCAUAUUGAUUCACUUCACAAUGUGAUCAUUUGAUUACCCACUGUAUCCUCUACCAAACAUACUGUUGUGAACCUCAAAUAGGUGCAACACAAUCGAUUUAAAGAAACACAUCACAUCUUUCCUUUUAUGUUUCACUAAAGAUACAAGCUUUUCAAGAAAAUUAACUCGAUUUC